rnacentral:lncRNA from 1 species
CCAAAUUUUGCUAAUAACAUUAUUAUUAAUAAAUUGCUAAUUAUUUAAUAAAUUAUUAUUUUAUCCAAUUGAAACUUAGUGCUUACAAUUUAAACAUGUUUAGCUAAAAAUAUCUUGGUGGGCCAUAAAAAUUGCUUUGUGGGCCAGAUGCAGCCCACAGGCUGCUAGUUUGAUACCACUGGUAUAAACAAUUAAUUGAACAGAAUAAGCUAUCAUCUAUGAAACUUAAUUUUUGAUUUAUAAUGCUCUAAAAGCUUUUUCGUUAAAGAAAAUUUCAUACUUUUUAUUAAAAAAAAUUAGUUUAUAAAAAACAUCUCGAUUUUAUAUAUUAACCUAUUCUUAAAGCUUACAUUUAAAAUAUAUUGGAAAUCUAUAUGAUUCUUAAAUAUAUAUGUUAUGGCCAAUGCAGAAGUCCAGCCAAUUUGUAAAAGGCUGGCCACUUCUAGAAUUGGCCAAGCCUUUCAUGAUUGUAAUUGUAUAUUUUGGGUUUUGGCCAGCCAGUUCACUGUCAUUGAUUUGGCCAGCCUGAUAUUCAAUGACCAAUUUGAGAACUGUCCAAGAAAAAAUUGCCAAAGCUGGAAGUUUUGUAGAGCUAAUCAUGCAGUUAUGGGAGUUGAUCAUACUAAUUUUAACUCAUAUUAAUUACCACUGUGAAAUUAAUUUAGUCAAAGUAAAAAAAUUAUUUUGAAAACAAAAAGGAAAAGCUAAUUAGAAUUCAAAUAAUUUUCCAAUUUGAAUAAAACUAAAGAAAGC